CACGAAGGAACGCAGACUAAGAACGCCACGUCCUGUAGCAACGUCUGCAUGAACCCUAUCCUGGGGG
rnacentral:sRNA from 2 species